CCGUAGGAGCUUUUUGCUUUUGGCUUUCCUCCCUUUCUCCCUCCUCCUCCCCUCCCCUUCCCUUCCCUUUGCCGGUCUCUGCAGCCGGGCGUUGGGAUGAAGGAUGUAAGUGUCGUGAGGGUUCCGGGCCUUUGAGGGGAACGACCACGUGCUGUCGUAGACCUGGCCUUCCCAAGGACCCGGCGAGUGUUCUGAUUGAGCCUAGGGGUCUUCCGCUGGGAUAAUGGUGGCACUUUGUGGGUACCUGGGCGGUGGCAGUUCCUACUGCUAGGGCGAACAUGGGAAUGGGGAGUUGUCCUGGGCUGCUCUGCAGUCGGGCCGCGCCGUUUCUUCUUCCUGCGUCGCUUGUCUCCGCCAUUUUGAUUUACUGGGCGCGGGAGAGGGAAAGAACAUUAAGGUCUUUCCGAGGUUCCCUACUAGCUUCCUAGCUACAUGUGCUUUCGGUAGGAAGUAGCUCCGAUUUUGUCAAUUCUGGGCAGCUGGCAUUUUUGUGCAACCCAGCACAAAGACUAUGGGGGAUGGGAGAGGAAGCGAUGUUGCAGUUUGUGUAGGUGCAGAGACGGGGUAUGGAGUCAGCAAAAAAGUGGGAGUGAGGUGGUUCUAAGUAAACUGUUGGCUUGUUUCUGAGAGCCAGAUAGGAAUGGAUUUAGGAGAAAAAAACGAGGCCUUUGUCCACGUGCAGGAAUGAUUCUGACAGUUAAAUCCUAACUGUAAGCAGUCUCCGCGUUACAGACGAUUCGCCUGAGGGCGUACGUAAUCAAGGAGCUCCCCAUGCUCAUUGUCUCAUUGAAGAGGGAUUUGCUUAGCUUGAGGGGUAAGAUCCUAACAUUAAAUAGUUAACGGAGGUUUACUGUGUGGUUAUAACGUCACUUGCUACAUUUUAUGGUGGGAAAAAGCCGGGCAGACAAUCCUAAGAUACCUUUGUCAAGAAACUGACUUUAUGACUCGGCGCCCGAAGCUCAGUGAGUAGGGUGCCAGCCACAUACACUGUGGCUGGUGGGUUCUAUCCCGGCCCAGGCCUGCUAAACGACAGUGACACCUGCAACAAAAAAAUAGGGGGCUUUGUGGCGAGUCCUAGCUACUCGGUAGGCAGAGGCAAGAGAAUCGCUUAAGCCCUAGAGUCUGAGGUUGCUGUGAGCUGUGAUGCUGCGGCACUCUACUCAGGACGACACAGUGAGAUUUUUUUUUUUUGUAGAGACAGAGUCUUCACUUUAUGGCCCUCGGUAGAGUGCCAUGGCAUCACACAGCUCACAGCAACCUCCAACUCUUGGGCUUAAGCGAUUCUCUUGCCUCAGCCUCCCGAGUAGCUGGGACGACAGGCGCCCGCCACAACGCCCAGCUAUUUUUUGGCUGCAGUUCAGCCGAGGCCGAGGUUUGAACCCGCCACCCUCGGUAUAUGGGGCCGGCGCCGCCCUGACACAGUGAGAUUUUUGUCUCCAAAAAAAGAAAGAAAGAAACCGACUUUAGUAGUAAGCUCCCCUUCUCUGGCAACAGAAUCAGAUCCCAAUUCUACACCAUCUUUGUCAUUGUGUCAUUGUCUGAUUAACGUAGCCUACCUUCUUGCCUCAAAAAUGGUCUUUUCAUUAAGAAAAGUGUUGAGGCAACAUUAGAUAGAUGUUAACCUUAAGUAUUCUUUCUUGAAAUUUCUCCUUUUUAAAUUUUUUUAUGAGCUUGUUUCUAUGCUCUGCUUGAAUUGAAAGACCACAAUAAUUACUGAAACUUAAUACAAUAUAUGGGUAUUAUUACCGUGUUUCCCGGAAAAUAAACCAUGUCCGAAAAUAAGACCUACUUACAGGUUUCCUUCUGGGUGAAAUAUAAGGCAUCCCCCCAAAAACAAGGCCCCCCCCCAGGCCCUGUCUCAGAAUGAAAAUUAAUUUACCGUAAACUGGUUGCUAGGGCCGCCCUGACUGGCAUCUUGCAACCACUGAGUUACAGCAGAGUCCUGAUGUCAAUGAGGCAGAGUGGAGGUCCAAGAGUGAGCUGUGAGCGUGGGGCGGGAGAGAGGAGGAGACUUUUGCAGAUGCAUGUAGAAGAACAGGAGGAUCAGAGCCCAUGGGACGCAGAGAAUGUGGUGAAUGCUGGUCUGUCUCUGGUGACACUGCCUGAUGCUCGUGGCCGCCCUCAUGAUGACUGAAGGUUCUCAGUCAGUGGCAGACCCUGCUCCAGCCCAGGUCCAGUCCCCAGGCAGGCCCUAGGGGGAAAUAUCUGAUAAAGAGGUGGGGGGGAUCACUUAAAAUGACACAGGUGGAUCAGAGGGGACAAUUAAAAUGACACAGGAGGAUCAAAAGCGGUUACUAAAAUGGUAAUCCCCCCCCCCCAUUCUCCCGUGCCAUUUUGAUUCCCCCCUCUGAUCCCAGGUUCCUUCUGGGUGAAAUAUCCCCCUGUGUCAUUUUAAGUGAUCCCUCUCCCCCCACCCUGAUACCCCAGUUCCUUUUUUUUUACCCCUAGAAAUGAGCGCAAAAAGAAAAAGCUACUCCGUGGAGUACAAGAAAGGAAUCGUGGAAGACUCUUGGGGCCAAAAUCUUACUGCUUUCUGUAAAGAGAAGAUGUUGAGUAUCCGAUUGGUCCGAAAAUGGCGAGCAGAGUAUGGUAACCUCAUUGAACAAGUGGAUAAGGGAAAUGCUAAAAAGCGCAAGUGUGGAUCAGGUCGGCAACCAUUAUUUUCCGAGCUGGAAGACCUGGUUUGUGAAUGGGUUGUUGACAGGAGAGCAAAGGCUUUGGUUGUGAAUAGGGCUCGGAUUCAAGAAUUUGCCCUUGCAAUGGCACCACAGUUUGACAUAGCCCCCGAAGACUUCAAAGCAUCACAACACUGGCUGGAUAAUUUCCUUCAGCGAAGUGAACUGUCUUUAAGAAGAUCCACAACAUUGUUUAGGCUGGAAGAUACUCAGGUUACUACCGUACCGUAUACAGGUGUAUCUUCAAGCUCAGGGGCCUCCUUCCACACCCCAUCAUGGUAAGACCAUGCUUUUCAUUGCCUGAUAACCCUGGCCUAACAUAGCUCACCAUCUGGGAUAACUUCAAAGCAGGUGUCUCCGGGACCUAAUUUAUGUGCUGAUUCACAAACAGUAAACAUAACUGUAGAGAAUUUGGACCUGAGUCCAAAUUCCGGCUGUCCUGUCUGUGGGCUUGGAGAUAGUCAUCAGACAGACGAUUGCUGUCCUGCGCCUCAGUUACUGUAUCUAGAGUGAGCACAUCAGGAGCCAGUGGCCCAAGUUAUUCAAACUGUUGGGGUGACAUUUCUUGCUUUCCAAGGGUUGGUGUUAAGUAAGAAAUGAUUUGCAUGGACUGUGGGGAAGUAGUAUUUGAGUUUCAGAGGAAAGGGCUAAUCAGAAACCUGUCAAACAGCAAUGUGAAGGAAGCAGAAGGGUUCUUAACACUAGGCAAGGGAAGAGUGAACAGUUUCCUGUCACAUGGGGCAGGUUUUGUAGACUAAGCACGGUGUUCUUUACACAAAGCUUAGCUUCUGAUGACUCACCUGUGUAUAAAUGCAUACAGUCAUUGAAGGAGCUUUUAGUUUACACAAUAGCAAUUGUUCAAAUAACAGGAUUUAUCUAGCGGGUGUUUCACAAGUGUUCAAAAGCUAAAUGGAGGAAAAGUGUGUGUGACCAGAAAGAAAUAAGUGCUCUGAACCCUGAGUGGACUUGGCAUUUGUUCCUUCAGUGUCAGGAGUGUCAAGAACAAGAGCUAUAGUGAACUAGAACUAAAAAUAUUCUCUGGGCUCUUGGAGAUUUUGGCUUUUUCUGGCAAGGAGGCUGCUUUCUGUGAAAGGUUGGCUUGGAUUUCAAAUCUUCUGAAUAUCUUUCUGGGGUACUCUGCAGAGCUCUGAGCAUUAGGCAUGAUGGGGUUAGAGGGGACUCCUGGGGAAAUCUAGUAGGGAAGUAACAUUUCGGUAGGGACGCCAGCGCUAGCUCAGGGUAGGGAAGAUAUAAGGGACCUGCAGCGUCUGUCGGAUUCUGACCUGACCCAUAGAACUCUCAAGGUGGAAAUGUUAUCUAUGGUGACCAGGCCAGCACCUGCUGACCACCAGGGUGCCAGGGAGACACAGCUGUGUGACAAAGGUUCUUGUGAACUCUCUUCCCACAGGUAAGGGCGGGCAGCUUGGGCGAGCCCAUUUGGGGUGGAGUUAGAAGCAGUCAAGGUUGUGCUGGCCAGUGCUGGACAUCAGACCCUAUCCUCCCACUGAAUUCCACAGACAUACAUCUGCCAGGCAUCUCUAGUCCCAUUUUCCAGAAGGAGAAACGGUCUUGAGGUCUGGUCAGUUCGCUGCAGAUCAUACGGUCAUUCAAGGAGUGACACUCAGGUUGUGCUGGACAGCGAGGGGUGAUCUUAGGGAGCAGGCAUUAGAAAGCAGCCCUGGGGAAUUGCUCAGCACCCCCAGGGCCCUGGUAUAGGUGGGAUUUCUUGUUUUGGGGGAGUUUUUUUGCCAGGAUCUCUUGAGUUCUCUUCUGCCUUGUCUCAAGGGACGCAAGUGGGACUGGGGCCUCUGAUGCCCAGCACUUGGUUCUAGCCACCCCUAAGAAGAUGAUGCGCCCCCCCCAGGGGGUCUGAGGGGCCCUAGCUCUGCAGAUGGGAUGAUGAUGGUACCAUGGCUGUCCUGCACCCCACUGACCACCUUUCCCUGUCUUGUGCCCUACUACAGGUGACUCCUCCAGGUGCUGUAAUGGUUUAGCCAUCACUCUGGCUGCAUCCCGCUGGACUCUUCGCUGUCCCCUGCCUUGGAGCAGCAGAGGCCAUGACUGUCAGUGCUGGCACCGACGUAGGGGGCCAGUUCUGCAUAUUCUGUAUGUUCUCCACGUACACCCAGCUUUGAGGAGAACCCCACACAGCUCAUGAUAACCUGCAUCCUGCAGUCAUAUGAUGGGGAACCAUGCCCUGUUCCUAAAUUCCAGAGAGCUGGUGCUGCUAAUCUGACUUGUGACGCUCUUCAACAAUGACCUCCCCAAGGUCCCACGGGGGAGAUGGCUGUGCACCACUGCUCAGCUUGCUGCUGGUGACCUGGUGCCAGCGCUGAGUCCUUCCUGCCCUUUGGCCCUGGACUACCAGGGAGGAGAGUGUCCAACUAGAUCUGCCAUGAGCCACCCUCAGCCCCCUCAUCUCAUCUUGUCCCCCGUCCCAAGUUGCCUGAUGACAUCCCCUUUACUUAGCUGCAGCUCUUACUAGACAGCCUGCUAGUCAAGGUACAGGAGUGCUCAAAGCCAUCACAGAGGCCUGGUGGAGCCAGGCUGCACCAGGCUCAGGCUGGCUCCUCUGCCACUAUGCAGAGAGGAGGGUCCUGGAGCUGUGCAAGGAAGAGGGACAAACCCCACCUCAGCUGACCAGGCCUAAGGGAGGAGCUGCUGAACCACAGCCAGGGCUGGGAGGCCAGGUUCCAGUAGAGUUGGGGUCAGGUAAGCCAGUACCUUGCUUAUGGGUGAGCCAUGGUGUGACAACCAUGUUCAAAGGCCCCUACCCCUGUGGAUUUCACUGGCCAGAGCCAAUGGGAGGAGCAAGCACUGUUGGCCACUUGUCACAAGUCUGGGUGCAGUGACUCCUGUGGAGGAAGCAAGAGCCUGCCAGACACAGUGUUGCACAGCUAACAAGAGUGGGCGCUACAGUGUGCCCACUCCUCUGCCACACAGAGCCCCAAAGCACUGUAGCCCCAGCAGGAGACCCCAUGGCCCAUGACAAUGAGGCUGAAAUUUAGCUCAGAACUUUUUUAAAGGUUUUUUUUUGUUUAGUAUUUUUGCUCUGCUUUCAGGGUAGGUACCACUUGGGAUUCAUUCCUCUUUGUGAAUGUUGUCCUCAAUGGCCAAGUUUUAGGUUUCUUUGUUUUUGCUAUACCUUCCCCUUUGGAAAUAAUUUUUUUGUUUGCUAUUUUAUCAGCAGCCGGUCCCUCCAGGUGGGUCUAGUUUCUCUAAGAAUGACCCCAGGCCAUUCUGGGCCUGGGUUCAGGGUGUGUUUAGGCAGAGUGACAGGAAACAAGUCCAUGAGGACAGCCCUGGUGGUUGUGGCUCCACAGCCCAGGUGCUGGGUACACAGGAUCACUCAUUAAAUGGCUGAUGGCAUCACUCUGUAUAGACCGUGGUGUUUAACUGUCCCCAUGUGAGCUCUCAUGUUGAGCUGGAUCCAGGGGUGCCCUGAGGACAGGACAGAAGUGCACCAGCCCCUACAUCUUUGGGCCCCUAGCUCUGCAGGCUAUUCCAACAGUCUGCUGAGUGGGAGUGGGCUCUUGACAGCCCAGAUCACAGUGACAACCCCAGACAGUAUUUUGAGUCUUAAUCUAUAAGCAAGAAGCCCCCACCAGAAGGUACCCUUAGCCAAGGAAUUCCCAGUCUUGGCCAGGUCAUGGCUACUAGUACCUCUAGAGAUGACAGGAUAGUGGGUGGGUCAGGGAUGGUCUGCACAGGCCAUCUUUAGGGCCCAGGGCAGGAUUUUCCACAAUGCAGGGGAGGGGGAGCUAUGGUGGUGGCCCCCUUGUGAAAGAAUUCGCUUGGCAUCUCCAAUUGUGAGGACUAUUUUGAGUCUGCUGGCCCUAGCCCAACCCUUUACCAUUGUCCCCACAUUUUUCUCCUGGUUGCUAGGAGUGGUUCUAUGCCACCAGCCCCCUAAGGUACCUCCUGGCAACCACAUCUAAUAGGUGCCAAGUGGCUGUAACUGAGCACCCACCAAACCUCAGCCUCCGCAUCUGUCCCCCCACAGUGAGGUCUGGCCCUAUGAUUGGGAUGGCUACACUGCUGGCCUGUGUUGGCAGGUUAGGGCAGUGUUACAGGUGCACACUUGUCCCCCAUAGGGCCUGCUGUCACAACCACUAGGCUCCUCAACUUCAGCAUUUUUUUUUUAGAGACAGUCUCACUUUAUGGCCCUUGGUAGAGUGCCGUGGCCUCACACAGCUCACAGCAACCUCCAAUUCCUGGGCUUAAGCGAUUCUCUUGCCUCAGCCUCCCGAGUAGCUGGGACCACAGGUGCCCGGCUAUUUUUUGGUUGCAAUUUGGCCAGGGCCAGGUUUGAACCCGCCACCCUCGGUAUGUGGGGCCAGCGCCUUACCGACUGAGCCACAGGCACCGCCCAACUUCAGCGUUUUUUAAAGAGCUGCCCCCACCUCCCUCCAAAUAAUUGCUGCACACGCUACCAUAGGCAACCCAGAGAGAAUGUCCUUAGCACCAUCUGCUCUCUGCUGGUCCCUGGGAGGUUAAUUUUGGGGAUUGUAGAACCUGCUGGAUUUAUCUUGGGUGUGCCAAAUAAAACUUAACCCCUUAC